CCUGAAGAAUAAGCAGGAACAACACUGCUGUGAGAAAACCAGCGAGAAGCCUUUCCCUGCCUCCAUAUCCAUUAGUGGAACCUUGGGAUACCAACACUUCCCACUGAAACCACCUGCAGUGGAUGAGGAAUGGUCAUUCCCAGCAGCCCAGGAGCUGCCCUGGCCAUGCCAAUCAGGCUCUGUCUGAAGUCCUCCCGUGUACUCAACAGUAAUUGUAAGAGUAUUUUUACUGUCUAUUUAAAAAAAAAAAAAAAGGGGACAGAAGAAAAGAAUAAAAAGGGCAAUCACUUAUCACCAAAAAAAAAAAAAAAAAAAAAACCAAAAAAACCAAACAAACCCCUAAACCAAAAACACCCCAAAAACAAAACCAGGAAACACUUUCUUUACAAAAUGAAAAGAUAUGAAAAGAUUUAUAAGGCCAAAGUGGUAUUACAAGUGUAAAGAGGUUCCUUAUUUGAUCAUAUAGGAUAUUAAAAUAUAGGGAUAACGCUGCAGAUACCAGAAUUUUUGUUUUCCAUUACCUUUCAUUCAGAUUUGAAAUUAGGAAAGAUUAAAAAACCUUCAGGAGCAGUAUCUCUUUCCAUGUUUACUGCAAGACACCACAAUAAAUCAAACACACGCUGCAUCUUCAGAUCCUCAUUAUUAUCAAGAUUUGUCUGUUAUUUCUAUCACUGCCCUUCUUUUUA